UAACACGUGAGUAAUCUGCCCUUCACUUCGGGAUAACCGCCGGAAACGGUGGCUAAUACCGAAUACGACGCACUCUCGCAUGAGAUGUGCGUGGAAAGUUUUCUCGGUGGAGGAUGUGCUCGCGGCCUAUCAGCUUGUUGGUGAGGUAACGGCUCACCAAGGCUUCGACGGGUAGCCGGCCUGAGAGGGUGACCCGCCACACUGGGACUGAGACACGGCCCAG
rnacentral:rRNA from 1 species